rnacentral:rRNA from 1 species
GACGAACGCUGGCGGCGUGCUUAACACAUGCAAGUCGAACGGAAAGGCCCUGCUUGCAGGGUGCUCGAGUGGCGAACGGGUGAGUAACACGUGGGUGAUCUGCCCCUUACUUUGGGAUAAGCCUGGGAAACUGGGUCUAAUACUGGAUAGGACCAUGCUGUAGGUGGUGUGGUGGAAAGAUUAGUUUCGGUAAGGGAUGAGCUCGCGGCCUAUCAGCUUGUUGGCGGGGUAAUGGCCUACCAAGGCGUCGACGGGUAGCCGGCCUGAGAGGGUGGACGGCCACAUUGGGACUGAGAUACGGCCCAGACUCCUACGGGAGGCAGCAGAGAGGAAUAUUGCACAAUGGGCGCAAGCCUGAUGCAGCGACGCCGCGUGGGGGAUGACGGCCUUCGGGUUGUAAACUCCUUUCAGCCAUGACGAAGCCCUUGUGGUGACGGUAGUGGUAGAAGAAGCACCGGCUAACUACGUG